rnacentral:rRNA from 1 species
GUGGGGAAUUUUGGACAAUGGGCGCAAGCCUGAUCCAGCAAUGUCGCGUGUGUGAAGAAGGCCUUCGGGUUGUAAAGCACUUUUGGCAGGAAAGAAAUAGCGCGUGCUAAUACCAUGCGCGAAUGACGGUACCUGCAGAAUAAGCACCGGCUAACUACGUGCCAGCAGCCGCGGUAAGACGUAGGGUGCAAGCGUUAAUCGGAAUUACUGGGCGUAAAGCGUGCGCAGGCGGUUUUGUAAGACAGGUGUGAAAUCCCCGGGCUCAACCUGGGAACUGCACUUGUGACUGCAAGGCUAGAGUGUGUCAGAGGGAGGUGGAAUUCCGCGUGUAGCAGUGAAAUGCGUAGAGAUGCGGAGGAACACCGAUGGCGAAGGCAGCCUCCUGGGAUAACACUGACGCUCAGGCACGAAAGCGUGGGGAGCAAACAGGAUUAGAUACCCCUGUAGUCC